rnacentral:rRNA from 1 species
GAUGAACGCUGGCGGCGUGCCUAAUACAUGCAAGUCGAGCGAACGGACGAGAAGCUUGCUUCUCUGAUGUUAGCGGCGGACGGGUGAGUAACACGUGUAUAACCUCCCUAUAAUACUGGGAUAACUUCGGGACACCGGAUCUAAUCCCGUAUAAUAUUUUGAACCGCAUGGUUCAAAAGUGAAAGACGGUCUUGCUGUCACUUAUAGAUGGAUCCGCGCUGCAUUAGCUAGUUGGUAAGGUAACGGCUUACCAAGGCAACGAUGCAUAGCCGACCUGAGAGGGUGAUCGGCCACACGGGAACUGAGACACGGUCCAGACUACUACGGGAGGCAGCAGUAGGGAAUCUUACGCAAUGGGCGAAAGCCUGACGGAGCAACGCCGCGUGAGUGAUGAAGGUCUUCGGAUCGUAAAACUCUGUUAUUAGGGAAGAACAUAUGUGUAAGUAACUGUGCACAUCUUGACGGUACCUAAUCAGAAAGCCACGGCUAACUACGUG